rnacentral:snRNA from 1 species
GUAUUUGUUUUGACAGCACAUACAUUAAAACUGGAAUAAUACAGAGAAGAGUGCUAGGGCUUCUAUGCAAGAAUGACAUGCAAAUUUGCCAGGGUUCCAUACCAAA